UAUGGUUGUGUAUGCUUGUGGAGAGC
rnacentral:piRNA from 1 species